rnacentral:lncRNA from 1 species
GAUCCAUUGAUUUGCUAAGAAGCUCUUUAUAGCUGAUCAAUUUGUUACGGUAGAAGUGGUGAGCUAGACAGCCAAUAAGCAGUAAACACAAUAUAUAAGGAAUGAAACCAUAGCGUGAAAUAUGAGGUUUACCGGAUCAAUACCGGGGCUUAUACUAGUUGGUGAUUGAUUCGGUAUGAUAUGAGUCCCUAUCGUACCAUGCCAGGGAAUCCCGAAAUGGGGAGAGGGAGAGGGAGCAUGGGAGAGGGAUAAGGAGAGGAGCAGGAGAGAGAGGAGGGAGGGAGAGAGAAAGGGACUUACAGGGAAGGG